rnacentral:rRNA from 1 species
AUUGAACGCUGGCGGCAGGCCUAACACAUGCAAGUCGAGCGGAUGAAGGGAGCUUGCUCCUGGAUUCAGCGGCGGACGGGUGAGUAAUGCCUAGGAAUCUGCCUGGUAGCGGGGGAUAACGUCCGGAAACGGGCGCUAAUACCGCAUACGUCCUGAGGGAGAAAGUGGGGGGUCUUCGGACCUCACGCUAUCAGAUGAGCCUAGGUCGGAUUAGCUAGUUGGUGGGGUAAAGGCCUACCAAGGCGACGAUCCGUAACUGGUCUGAGAGGAUGAUCAGUCACAGUGGAACUGAGACACGGCACAGACUCUUACGGGAGGCAGCGGUGGGGAAUAUUGGACGAUGGGGGAAAGCCUGAUCCAGCCAUGCAGCGUGUGUGAAGAAGGUCUUCGGAUUGGAAAGCGCUUUAAGUUGGGAGGAAGGGCAGUAAGUUAAUACCUUGCUGUUUUGACGUUACCAACAGAAUAAGCACCGGCUAACUUCGUG